GAAGGUGUAGCUCAGUGGUAGAGAGCAUACCUGGCACGCAAGGGUCCUGGGUUCAAUCCCCAGUAGCUCCA
rnacentral:tRNA from 1 species